GACGAACGCUGGCGGCGUGCUUAACACAUGCAAGUCGAGCGAAAAGACGGAAAGAGCUUGCUCUUUUCAGAAUUGAGUGGCAAACGGGUGAGUAACACGUAAACAACCUGCCCUCAGGAUGGGGACAACAGACGGAAACGACUGCUAAUACCGAAUAAGUUCCAAGAGCCGCAUGGCCCAUGGAAGAAAAGGUGGCCUCUACCUGUAAGCUAUCGCCUGAAGAGGGGUUUGCGUCUGAUUAGCUGGUUGGAGGGGUAACGGCCCACCAAGGCGACGAUCAGUAGCCGGUCUGAGAGGAUGAACGGCCACACUGGAACUGAGACACGGUCCAGACUCCUACGGGAGGCAGCAGUGGGGAAUCUUCCGCAAUGGGCGAAAGCCUGACGGAGCAACGCCGCGUGAGUGAUGACGGCCUUCGGGUUGUAAAACUCUGUGAUCCGGGACGAAAAGGCAGAGUGCGAAGAACAAACUGCAUUGACGGUACCGGAAAAGCAAGCCACGGCUAACUACGUGCCAGCAGCCGCGGUAAUACGUAGGUGGCAAGCGUUGUCCGGAAUUAUUGGGCGUAAAGCGCGCGCAGGCGGCUUCCCAAGUCCCUCUUAAAAGUGCGGGGCUUAACCCCGUGAUGGGAAGGAAACUGGGAAGCUGGAGUAUCGGAGAGGAAAGUGGAAUUCCUAGUGUAGCGGUGAAAUGCGUAGAGAUUAGGAAGAACACCGGUGGCGAAGGCGACUUUCUGGACGAAAACUGACGNUGAGGCGCGAAAGCGUGGGGAGCAAACAGG
rnacentral:rRNA from 1 species